CAAAAACAGCUGAGGAAAAGGACAUGUGAGCUGGGGGUCUCUGCAUAGUGUCAUGAGUUUCUUGGGAUCAGGACAUAAUGAGAAGGUGGGACAGAGAGUGGAGAUGAAGAGGUAUAUUAUGUGUUGAAGAAAUCAUUCUGAAGUGUUGUGUCUGUGGCUUUUCAGGAUGUGAUGAUGACCGUUGCCUCCAGUGUCAUGGCCCCAGAAAGUGCACCCUCUGCAAAGCCCCAUUCUUCCUCUUGGGGUCUCAGUGUGUCUCCAUGUGUGGAAAGCGAUAUUAUGCAGACCAUAGAGAACAAAAAUGCUCAGUUUGCCCAGAGGGAUGCUUGGAAUGUGAUCAGUCAGACCGAUGCCACGUUUGUGAUGCUACAACUUUUCUUCAAGGAGAUCAGUGUGUGUCCCAUUGCAGCUAUGGCUUCUAUGGCAAUCCUCAGAGCAGGGAAUGUACAACUGUCAUGCACUCUCUGCUUCUCAGGACGAACAGCUCCCUCAGGGUUGGAAUUGGUGGGGUGAAGCCACUCGAUGUCUCCUUUCUGGGAUUGCAGGACCCUGGGGACUAUGGUGAAGACCUGUUAUUUCAUGUGGUAGACCCUCCUACCAAUGGCAGGCUAAUGACUUUGACUGAUGGGAAAGAGAGUCUGCUGAACCAGGAUGACUAUUUCACUGGAGAGGAUGUGAAAAGGCGAAGAGUUUUCUUUGUUCAUGAUAAGAAGAAAUCCAGGAAUGGCCAGUUUUCUCUAAAGAUCAGCUAUCAACAGUUCUUCUCUGAUCCAGAAACAUUCACAGUUCAAGCCCAAUCAAAACAGGUAAUAUAGAAGAGAACGGUGAUGUCUAUCUAUCAUAUCUGUCUAUCUUUGAACUGAA
rnacentral:lncRNA from 11 species